ensembl:lncRNA
CUUGCGCCCGGGUGAGGCGGCGGCCUCGAGGUUGUCCUGCUGUGCUCCGCAGUGCUCCAACGCCGCGGGGCGGCUCCGGGCGCCGCCUCAGCUUCUACAGGAGAGACGUUGUGGGUGAGACAGAGGGAACAUCAAAUGAGAAACUGGGAAGAGAUAUGAAGUAGCGGGACCAGUUUUUCUAAAGCGAGUUGCCGUCUGGGAUGCGGUGGCCGUCUACGUCCAGGAGCAGCUCCUGCUACGCAAGGGGGUCCGAAUUCCCACCUUCGGUUCCUUCAGCCGUCUCCGAACGGAUUGAGGCUGAGGAUGGAGCCAUGACUCUGCGGUGGCCUGCGUUUUGCCUGGCCAGGAACCUUGCGGGCAUCCACAACCUGAUGGAGAGCGACCCACCAGGCCAUAAGGAGGUGCAGCCCCUCAAGUACACUGAGGUGGCCGCGGCCGCAUCUGUGACCUGGCAGACUGGGAAGGCCUGCAUAUUUGGCACCACGUCCCUCGUUUCCCACUGCCUGAGGAAGGGGGAGAACAUUGCCUUUGUCCUGAAGGACAUAGGAGUGCUCCUCAUCGAGGGAACGAGAGUUCAGAUGAAGUUCUACUACGACUUCCUCGAGAGGAUCAGCGGGAAAGAGAACCUAGAGAAAGUUGUUUUCAAGGUGCCCCGGCUGCGGGACAUGGUGGUGUCCCGGGUGGCAGCUGUAGCCUCCCUGACGUCCUGUGGCCGAGUCAUCGUCUUUCCCAGGUUUCGACGGGAGUUUGUACCCAAACCACCACCCAGGACAGCCCGCAAGGCCUGCCAUGUCCCAUUGCCACCUCUUGACCAGGCCAAGAAAGAGGAACUUCCUGAAUUGCCACCCCUCCCCAGCUGGAUCCGCGUUACCUUUGUAGUGAAAAAACAGCCUGAGAAGGAAACAAGCGAUGUCAAGAAGAAGGCCAGUCAGCUGCCAGCGGUCCCAGGGGCGUCUUCUGCCAAAAAGCAGCCUCAGAAAAAAAAGAAGGGAAAAUGCUCUACCAAAAGCAAGGCGGCAGAGAUGGCUCCAGCAGAGGCAGCGCAACCUCCAAGUGGCAAAGAAGAAGAACGCGGCGCGGUGAAAGCCCCCGCUGGAGGAGGAGUGCCGCAAAAGGCACAGGCCAAGCUCAGAAAGCACCGUGGAGCCCCAGCCCUGCAACAAACACCACUGGCAGCCCUAUGGUCCUCGAGCUCUGAGACCAGCCUGCCCGAGGAGCGCACCUACAGCGCCUCUGCUGCGGUGCCACUGACGCACAGGAGGACCAGAUCUCUGCAGAGUCAGCCACCAAAGACCAAAGCGGGGCUCCCCAGGCGGGGGAUGUCCUGUCCACGCUGACCAGGGCAUGGGGUGCCCAGGAGAAGCAGAGCUCCACCUGAGGCUGCCAAACAGGUGUGCGAUUCCUCUCUGUGCCAUUCCUGGGGGCCUGUCUGCACCCUUCUUUGGUUUUGGCUCCAAGUUUGCUUUCGGAGGCACUUCUUGCCAUAAGACUCUGACUUGGCUAGGAGAUGACAGGUGGGUGUGGCAAUCAGCAUCACUUGGUGGACAAUUUUACAUUUGAAAGCAUUUCUUUGCAGCUCUUUGCCUUUGGAAAAGAGUGCUGAGGAGUGUUUACUUGAGGAAGGUGUGGGCUGUGACCAAAAACUCCAGCUUGGUAUAGGAGAACUGAGGGAACAACGCCAUCGUAUCCUGCGAAAAACAGGAUGCAGGUGGACACCUCCCUGCUCCCUCCUAUCUGCUGGCAAGGCGCGGGAGAUGGGGACAAAGGAGUUUCUGCUGAGAUCCCAAAGCCACAAGCCGCCACUCCAAAGAGAGCUGACCGUUGUCGUCAACUGAACAACGACCCCUGAUGACCCAUCACUACUGAAGAUCGACGUCUGAGCUACGAACCACGCUGGACCUGUGGUGGUGACUGUCUCUCUCUUGCUUCCUACAAAGACAGCUUGCUUUUAUUUGCUAUAUUUUCUAUCGCCCGUCUUCCCUUCCCCAUCUCCCUAAACAACUUGGGUUUGUAAUAAAGCGGACGGGCUAACAUUUAACCCGUGGUGUCUUAAGCUCUCUGUCAGGUGUACAUAGAAUAAAAGAACCUCCUCUCGCUCUGAUAAUGGGAGCGAGACAGUGCCGUCUCUUUGAAGAAAAGCAGAGGUAGAGGGACAAUGGAGACUCUUCCUUCCAAGACCCCUUGGCUCUGACAGACAAGGUGGCUACACUCCUUGGAGCCUUGGGAUCUCGAGCUCCUCAUUUUCCAGUGUCACGCUCUCUUCUGGUGGCACGCAGAGCACACCAAAGCCCACGAAUAGGCAGCGUUUGAAAGGCAUAGCUAUGCGUGAGGCCCAAGAGUUUCCUUCCAACUCGCUGCUCCUUUAGAUCCCUGGUGGGAAGAGAAGGGCUUUCUGGGAGGCGCUGGCAUAGCUUAGGAGCAAAACACUGCAGCUGGGCAACUAGUAGGGAAGGGAGAAAGAGAGGCAGAGAGAUGGCUGCCCCCCCUCAGCCAGAGAGCCGUGUGUGGGAAAGGCUGUGUCACAGCCACUGGUCCUGGCUCAGGGCUGCAACACGUGCCUCUUCUGAGCACUGCUGUCGUGAGCAUUGUUCCAAGAACAACGUGGGGUUACCAGGAACAUUUCAGAAGCAAGGAGGAGAAGGCCAGAGGCCUGGAAACACGACCUGUGGAGGAGCUGCCCUGAGCAACCGAGCGCUGAACAUCUAGCACUGAACACUCACUCGUCAAGAGCAGCUGCUUCGGACCGGCCUGGCCAGAACCGCAGCAAGCGAUCUCAAGGCACGAGGGAAAAGACCUCCAAGAUCAUCCAGCCCAACUGUCCACCCACCACCACUAUUUCCCACUACACCAUGUCCCUCAGUAGCACAUCUAAACAUUUCCUGAACAUGUCCAGGAACGCUGACUGCGGUCUCUCCCUGGGCAGCCCAUCGCAGUGAGAAGAAAUUUUUCCUAACGUCCAGCCUGAAACACCUCUUGUUGCUUUCAAGGUUCUUUCAUUUCUUCACAAAGUUGGUGACAAUCAUCGUCUGGGAGGAUGUGAACCUAAGGAGGUCCAAUAAGGUCAAGUGCAGCGUGUUGCGCCUGGGUUGGGGCAAUCCCAGAUACACGUACAGACUGGGAGAAGAACUCCUUGCGAGCAGCCCUGCUGAGAAGGACUUGGGAGUCCUGGUGGACCAAAAACUUUGCCUGAGCCAGCAGUGAGCACCUGCAGCCCGUUCCGGGUUGCAUGAAAUGAGGGGUGUCCAGCAGGGCGAGGGAAAUAACUGUCCCUCUCUACUCUGCCCUUGCAAGGCCCCAUUCAGUCUGGAGAAGAGAAGGUUCUGGGGACACCUGAUAGUGGCCUCCCAGUAAUUAAAGGCCGCUGAC